UCGCCUGAGGAUGACUCGCGUCUGAUAGCUAGUGUGGGGUAAUGCCCACCAGCGACGAUCAGUAGCUGUCUGAGAGAUGAUCAGCACACUGGGACUGAGACACGGCCCAGACUCUACGGGAGGCAGCAGUGGGGAAUUUUCCGCAAUGGGCGAAAGCCUGACGGAGCAAUACCGCGUGAGGGAGGAAGGCUUUUGGGUUGUAAACCUCUUUUUUCAAGGAAGAAGCAAGUGACGGUACUUGAAGAAUCAGCAUCGGCUAACUCCGUGCCAGCAGCCGCGGUAAUACGGAGGAUGCAAGCGUUAUCCGGAAUCAUUGGGCGUAAAGCGUCCGCAGGUGGCGUAUCAAGUCUGCUGUCAAAGACAGAAGCUCAACUUCUGGCAGGCAGUGGAAACUGGUAAGCUAGAGUACGGUAGGGGUUGAGGGAAUUCCCAGUGUAGCGGUGAAAUGCGUAGAUAUUGGGAAGAACACCAGUGGCGAAGGCGCUCAGCUGGGCCGUAACUGACACUGAGGGACGAAAGCUAGGGGAGCGAAAGGGAUUAGAUACCCCUGUAGUCCUAGCUGUAAACGAUGAACACUAGGCGUUGCUUGUAUCGACCCGAGCAGUGCCGUAGCCAACGCGUUAAGUGUUCCGCCUGGGGAGUACGCACGCAAGUGUGAAACUCAAAGGAAUUGACGGGGGCCCGCACAAGCGGUGGAGGAUGUGGUUUAAUUCGAUGCAACGCGAAGAACCUUACCAAGGCUUGACAUCCUACGAAUCUCUUGGAAACGAGAGAGUGCCUACGGGAGCGUAGAGACAGGUGGUGCAUGGCUGUCGUCAGCUCGUGUCGUGAGAUGUUGGGUUAAGUCCCGCAACGAGCGCAACCCUCGUUUUUAGUUGCCAGCAUUGAGUUGGGCACUCUAAAGAGACUGCCGGGGACAACUCGGAGGAAGGUGGGGACGACGUCAAGUCAUCAUGCCCCUUACGUCUUGGGCUACACACGUACUACAAUGCUACGGACAGAGGGCAGCGAGCAUGCGAAUGCAAGCAAAUCCCAUAAACCGUGGCUCAGUUCAGAUUGCAGGCUGCAACUCGCCUGCAUGAAGGCGGAAUCGCUAGUAAUCGCAGGUCAGCAUACUGCGGUGAAUACGUUCC
rnacentral:rRNA from 1 species